rnacentral:rRNA from 1 species
CACCGCGGUUAUACGAGAGACCCAAGUUGAUAUAUGCCGGCGUAAAAUGUGGUCGAUAUACUAUUAUACUAAAGCCGAACAUCUUCAAGACUGUAAUACGUAUUUGAAGACAAGAAGCCCUUCUACGAAAGUGGCCUUAAAAAGUAUCAUCCACGAAAGCUAGGGA